rnacentral:rRNA from 1 species
UGGGGAAUAUUGGACAAUGGGGGCAACCCUGAUCCAGCAAUGCCGCGUGUGUGAAGAAGGCCUGCGGGUUGUAAAGCACUUUCAGUAGAGAAGAAAAGCUUAGGGUUAAUACCCCUGAGUCUUGACGUUACCUACAGAAGAAGCACCGGCUAACUCCGUGCCAGCAGCCGCGGUAAUACGGAGGGUGCAAGCGUUAAUCGGAAUUACUGGGCGUAAAGCGCGCGUAGGUGGUUGUGUAAGUCGGAUGUGAAAGCCCAGGGCUUAACCUUGGAAUUGCAUCCGAUACUGCAUGACUAGAGUAUGGUAGGGGGAAGUGGAAUUUCCGGUGUAGCGGUGAAAUGCGUAGAGAUUGGGAAGAACACCAGUGGCGAAAGCGCUCUACUGGGCCGGUACUGACACUCACAGGACGAAAGCUAGGGGAGCGAAAGGGAUUAGAUACCCCGGUAGUCC